GUGAGUAGCUGGAAUUACAGGCGCCUGCCACUAUGCCCGGCUAAUUUUUGUAUUUUUAGUAGAGAUGGGGUUUCACCAUGUUGGCCAGGCUAAUCUCGAACUCCUGACCUCAGGCGAUCUGCCUGCCUCAGCCUAAGUGCUGAGAUUAGAGGCAUGAGCCACCACGCCUGGCUACAUGAAAUUUUGCACCAGAGUUUUAGAUACUUGCUGUUGACUUUCUUCUAUUUACAGUGACUCUGAGAAUGUAUUUGCAGCUUUUUAAAUAUUAUUAGCUUUCUGCUAAGUCUCCUGGAAAGUCCUUAAAAGAGUUUCUCUGUUUUUAUCAUUUAUUUGAGAGAACAGUAGCUUUAUUAGCUUGUAGCCAGAAAUAGAUUUUAACGUUAUAACUCAAUUCCCAGAAUUAAAUUUAUCAGUUGUAGAAAUUCAGCUCUGAACUGUUAACUUUUGCUGUAUGAUGUGAAAUGAGAGCAGGAGGAGAGGAAGUAUGUUACUGGCAGAAGACAAGUCAGACAGGAUCUUCUCAGGUAUCCUCAUAGUCAAUUGCUCUUGGCAACUUGUUCCAUUUUCCUACCAUCAGAGGAAGUUGACAGGAUGUCAUAACAUGAAAGGAGGCCGUUGUAGGAAAAGCUUUGGAAUGCCAUGGACUAUUAUGUGGCCAUUAAAAAUAAUGAAUUAGAGGGCAUCCAAAUAAUUUGCAGGAAUUUCCAUAAAUUAUUGUCGAAUGAGGAAAACAAGAGGCCAAAGAGUGUGAUGCUGUAUGGAGCACUCAGCACUAGUCUCUCUUGCUCGCAGGUUGUACGUUUGGCAGGAGUAGCAGCUAAAUCAACCUUGAUGAAUGGGAACCUAGGUUGGACAUAUGCAUAGCCUCUCUCCCUGCCAUGAUGGUUACUUCAUCCACUUGGCCAUCUGAUUGGGGUUGCUGAUGACAGAGGCUGACUGAUUGUCUUUGCAGAUGCAAUUGGUUAAAAAUCUUGAGAUGAAACAUCUUGGAAUCGUCCUGAACAUAUCUUGACUUGUGUUUUUAUAAGAAGAGGAGAGCACAAGAGAGCUCCAUAGGGAAGAAGGUGAUAUGACAACAGUGGCAGAAAUUGGAAUGAUGAGUCUGCAAGUCAAGGAACACCAAGAAUUGCCAGCAAUCACCAGAAGCUAGGAGAGAGGCCCGGGAUGCUUUCUUCCUUGGAGCCUCCAGAAAAACCAACCCUGCUGACAACUUGAUUUCAGACUUCUGGCCUCCUAAACCAUGAGGGAGUAAAUUAUUUUUAUUUUUUUUGUAGAGACAGAGUCUUGCUACAUUGCCCAGGCUGAUCUUGAACUCCUGGCCUCAAGAGAUCCUCCUGCCUUGGCCUCCCAAAGCUCUGGAAUUAUAGGAGUGAAUCACUGUACCCAGCCAAGAGGGAGUAAACUGAAGCUGCUCAAUUUGUGGUCAUUUCCAUGGCAGCUCAGUGAAACUAGUACAGUCCCUGACCAGCAGGCCAUGCGUUGGCCACUGUCCAUAAGUCCAUGUAUAUUUUAAUCUUGGAUCACUUCCUUUUUUGUACAAAGUGGAUGAUCAGGUACCCAGCUUGAAGCUCUAAUCAUGUGGAAAAUUUCUCUUACCACCACCCUUCAAGGCUAUCCCUUAAACUUCUAUGACAGCAGAUGUCUCUGACAAUAAAUUUAAUAUAUUAAAACUGAAAAUGUCUGAAUAUUAAAAGAUAUUUUGAAGAAAGUGGAAAAAUAAACUGAGACAAAAUAUUCAUGACACCCUGGCAAAGAAUUGAUAGCAAUAAUAUCUAAAGGACCUAAAGGACAUCUGUAAGCUAAUAAAGAAUGGCCAUACCAGUGAUUUAAAAAUGGACAAAAGCCAUGAAUAGGAAGCUCACAGAAGAGAUAAAACAUAUGGCCAAUAAACCUACAAAGAGAUACUCAAGUUCAUUAGUGAUCAGUGAAAUGGAUAACCAAAAAUCAGGAUGACAAUGAGAUACUAUUUUAAACAUAGUAAAUUGGCAAGUUUAAAAAGUCUAAUAACACAAAAUAUUGGGAAGGUUGUGGAUCAGUAGAUUAGUUUAUAGUUUGCUGGUGGGAGUGUUCAACCACUUUAGCAAGGAAUUUGGCAUUAUCUCUUAAAGCUGGAGACUCAUAUAUCUAUGAUGAGUAAUUCUACACUGGGCAUAUACUCAAAAGAAAUUAUUGCAGGUGUACAUUAGGAGACAUCUACAAGAAUGUCCAUGGAAGCAUUUCUGUUUGAAAUAGCAAAAGCUUUGAAAAAAACUUACAUGCCUCAUGACAGGAGAAGAGAUAAAUUGUGGUACCUUCAUACAAUAAAAUAUCUUACUGGAAAGAAAAUGAAUAUAAACGAUGCUAGAAAUAUAAUUUGAAUAAAAAUUAAGCUCUCAAAAGGUUACAUGUACUACAAAACACAUUUUAAAAAGUUACAAACAACUAAAACUACCCAAUAUGCUUUUUAAGAAAUAUUUAUAUUAUGGUAAAACUGUAGUUCUAAAAAGCAAAGGGAAGACUAAUACAAGUUGCAAGGUAGUGGUUACCUCUGGCGGAGGGAGGCAGGGUAUGAGAUAGGGAAGAUAACAUUGGAGGAUGUUACAAAUUAUGAAUGUUUCCAUUGUCAUGCAGGGUGGUGUAUACACAGGUAUUUAUUGCAUAACAAACAAAUUGUUCAACAAACAAAUAGGUAAAUAAAUAAAUAAAUAAAAAGAAGGCCAUGCCUGAACCAAGGAUGAGACCAUGUCAUGAACCAAGUUUUAUGAUUAAUUAAAUUUUAGGCAUCCAGCAUUAGAAACACAACUACUGGAUUUUUGAUUGGGCAGAGAUGUUUCUGGUUGAACCAGCAAUGGAAGCAGGAAGAGCCCUAAACCUGGGGCAAGGGGAGAGACAGGAUGUGGUGUGAAAGAGAAAGGAAAGAAUCCCCAAGAAAGUCACACAAGUGGCCUAAAGGGAAAGGCUUGUGAGAAAUCCCCUGUAGGAGCUGGUCCAGGAGCUUGGAAAAGAGAGCUGUCUAGGGGUCUAUUUGAAGUUGUUUCCUGUUCUGAUCCUUGGUAUAAGUAAUCUCCAGUAUCCAAAGCCCACAGUAAAACUCUACUACAUAGUUAAAAUACAUAACAAAUAACAAACUCUCUUCAUUCAAUCACUCGUUCAUUAUAUGCUUAUUUAUUGGGUUCCUAUGGCAUGGGGCACAGCAUUUAGCAGCAAACAAAACAGACCAAGUCUUUGUUCUCGUGGAGUUAAUACAUCAUUUUCCAGAUGAUACUAAAUGCAAUGGCAAACAAUGAAGCUGUGUAACAGAUUUAGGGAGAGCCGGGAGUGGAGGUGAUUUAUAUCAGUGGUGCUUGGCCAGAAUGAAGAGAAAGCAAGUGCAGGGAUGGCUACCCGCAUAGUGGAGUGGGGACAGAGGAAGGGGGAUAGAUAGUGAGUGGGGAUUUGGAAUUCUGCAGGAGCAGGGAUUUGGCAUCUAGGAGAACGUAAGUCCUCUUUACAGCAAACUGUGGGAACAUUGGAGAAGGCUCUGGAUUUCCCACCAUACACAGAAUUUGGCUUGUAUUACUUAGUUUGUAAGUUAAAGGCAAAGUUAAUUCUAAAAAUUAGAGAACUUGGGGCGUCUGCCAUUAUACUUCUGUUUUUCUACUUUCUUUUGUAUCAGUGGUUCUUAAUCUGAAGGAGCAGUAGAGAGGAGCAUGGGCAUUUGUGCUUUGGAAGAGCUUUCCCAGUAAUUCUGAUAUACCUCCUCUUCCUGCUUCCUCCCUGCCCCACAUAACUCAUGCCUCCAUCGGUAAACAUUGCUUAUUUACAAUAGUCAUUCCUGGCUUAAUUAUCCUAGGGUAGCUCAAAUAAUCUCAGGCUAUAAUUUUUCCUUAACAAAGUAAUAAAUAAAAUCAUUGACAACAUAUUUAAUUAAAUAUUUAGAUUUUUAAUUUAAAUUUAAACAUUUCAAAAGGUUGAUAACAUGUUUAAAUUAAAAGCAACCUAGCAGAACAUUUAUUAGAAAACAGUAGAAUUGUUAAAUGAAAUGCCAGGUUCCUCAAUGCCCCACCUUAAGAAUCAUCAUGUUAGAGAUUGUUUUAAAAUCAUUUUCUUGAUCCUCUUUAACAAUGGCUUCAUUUUUUAUGACAAUAUUUGUUUCCAGUAUGUUGGAAAUGAAACUGGACAAAACAGUUAGAUGAAUGCUGAAUUAGCAUAAAGGUCUCUUUUUUGAUUUCAUCUGUGUGUUUAAAGUUAAUGUGUUGAAUGCUUAGUACUUGCCAGGAAAUAUUUUAAGCAUUUUGUGUGUAUUAUUUAAUGUUCACAAUAUCUCCAUGAAUUGUAUUCAUUAAUAUCCCCACAUACAAACAGGGAAACUAAGGUACAGCUUCCUGAAGCUGGUGAGUACAGUGCUAGACUGUUAUCCAGGCAGGCUGUUUCCUGAGCUCAUGGCUUUAACUCAUUUGCAAUACUAUCUCCAGUAAAUACCAAUGCAACUAAUAGAACAAUGUCUCAAUAUUAUCCACCCCAUGCAUUUCACUUAUCUCACUUGUUAAAAUGCUUUGAAAAAUUUGCUACCUUGAAUUUUCAAAGUCUUCCAAGUUCAUGAUUAUCAGCUCAUGAAUGCUAGAAGAAAAGAUGAUUCACUGCUGUCCAAAUUAAAAUGCAGCAGGUUCUAGCUGAAAACAGUCCAGGGUUAGCUGAUGACUAAAUCUAAAUGUCACAUAGAAUAUCCUAUUUUAUUUUUAGGAGCUCCAGGAAACAAAGAUAUCCAGGUACAAGCACAUUACAAACUCAGUGGGCUUUGCCAGACAGCAUAACUUAAGCAUUUUAUUUUGAGUAGAAAGAACUCACUUUGUGCCCUACAAACGGUCACGCAGUUUACUUUCAUACUGUGUUCCUUCGUCUGCGGUUAUUAUUUCCUUCUAAAGUACACAGAUAGAAACAUUUGCUUGCAUGAAGAAAACUUUUCCACACUCCUAUUUUCUUUCCCCACCACAUUCCAUAGUAAAAUAAUAUAUUUUUUUACAUCUCAAGUUACUUUUCUCCUUCUAUAACUAUUUUAGUAUUUCCAGGAUUUAAAAAACCACACACACACACCCCCACACACACACCCCAAUCAGCAUCUCUUCAAAAAAAGAAAGUUUGUGAGCUCUUAAUUUCUCUAUUUUGAAGUUGUUUUCCUCAGCUCCGAUAACAAAGUUAUCCUUAGGGCAUAAGGAAGUAGGCUGUUUACAAUUAGUUAACACCAGGUCAUCCUUUUUUUGACUUAAACCAGUUUUGGGGCAUCAGGUAUUCUUAACAUUGAUGCUGUGAAACUUCUAAUGACCACAGGAUUCAGAAUUGCGCUACCCAAGGCAAUGUAUAAGUUAUAUAUAUUGUAGAUAUUGAAACAAAAGUG
rnacentral:lncRNA from 10 species